AAUCAACGCUGGCGGCGUGCCUAACACAUGCAAGUCGAACGCGAAAGUGGAGCAAUCCAUGAGUAGAGUGGCAAACGGGUGAGUAACGCGUGGGCGACCUACCUUCGAGUGGGGGGAUAACCUUCCGAAAGGAGGGCUAAUACCGCAUGACAUCCCGUGUUUGGAUACACGGACAUCAAAGCCGGGGAUCGUAAGACCUGGCGCUUGAAGAGGGGCCCGCGUCCGAUUAGCUAGNGGUGAGGUAACGGCUCACCAAGGCUCCGAUCGGUAUCCGGCCUGAGAGGGCGGACGGGACACACUGGAACUGAGACACGGUCCAGACUCCUACGGGAGGCAGCAGUGGGGAAUUGUUCGCAAUGGGCGCAAGCCUGACGACGCAACGCCGCGUGGAGGAUGAAGACUU
rnacentral:rRNA from 1 species